CCUACGGGAGGCAGCAGUGGGGAAUAUUGGACAAUGGGGGGAACCCUGAUCCAGCGACGCCGCGUGAGUGAAGAAGUAUUUCGGUAUGUUAAGCUCUAUCAGCAGGGAAGCAAGAAAUGACGGUACCUGACUAAGAAGCCCCGGCUAACUACGUGCCAGCAGCAGCGGUAAUACGUAGGGGGCAAGCGUUAUCCGGAUUUACUGGGUGUAAAGGGAGUGUAGGCGGCGAUGCAAGUCUGAAGUGAAAGGGGGGGGCCCAACCCCUGGACGGCUUUGGAAACUGGAUGUCUUGAGUGCAGGAGAGGUAAGUGGAAUGCCUGGUGUAGCGGUGAAAUGCGUAGAUAUUAGGAGGAACACCAGUGGCGAAGGCAGCUUACUGGACUGUAACUGACGUUGAGGCUCGAAAGCGUGGGGAGCAAACAGGAUUAGAUACCCCAGUAGUC
rnacentral:rRNA from 1 species